AAAUUGAAGAGUUUGAUCAUGGCUCAGAUUGAACGCUGGCGGCAGGCCUAACACAUGCAAGUCGAACGGUAACAGGAAGCAGCUUGCUGCUUCGCUGACGAGUGGCGGACGGGUGAGUAAUGUCUGGGAAACUGCCUGAUGGAGGGGGAUAACUACUGGAAACGGUGGCUAAUACCGCAUAACGUCGCAAGACCAAAGAGGGGGACCUUCGGGCCUCUUGCCAUCAGAUGUGCCCAGAUGGGAUUAGCUUGUUGGUGAGGUAACGGCUCACCAAGGCGACGAUCCCUAGCUGGUCUGAGAGGAUGACCAGCCACACUGGAACUGAGACACGGUCCAGACUCCUACGGGAGGCAGCAGUGGGGAAUAUUGCACAAUGGGCGCAAGCCUGAUGCAGCCAUGCCGCGUGUAUGAAGAAGGCCUUCGGGUUGUAAAGUACUUUCAGCGGGGAGGAAGGUGUUGCGGUUAAUAACCGCAGCAAUUGACGUUACCCGCAGAAGAAGCACCGGCUAACUCCGUGCCAGCAGCCGCGGUAAUACGGAGGGUGCAAGCGUUAAUCGGAAUUACUGGGCGUAAAGCGCACGCAGGCGGUCUGUCAAGUCGGAUGUGAAAUCCCCGGGCUCAACCUGGGAACUGCAUUCGAAACUGGCAGGCUUGAGUCUUGUAGAGGGGGGUAGAAUUCCAGGUGUAGCGGUGAAAUGCGUAGAGAUCUGGAGGAAUACCGGUGGCGAAGGCGGCCCCCUGGACAAAGACUGACGCUCAGGUGCGAAAGCGUGGGGAGCAAACAGGAUUA
rnacentral:rRNA from 1 species